rnacentral:rRNA from 1 species
GCGAUCCCUUCGGGGAUAGCGGCGGACGGGUGAGUAACGCGUGGGAACGUACCCUCUUCUGCGGGAUAGCCUCUGGAAACGGAGAGUAAUACCGCAUACGCCCUUUUGGGGAAAGAUUUAUCGGAGGAGGAUCGGCCCGCGUUAGAUUAGGUAGUUGGUGGGGUAAUGGCCUACCAAGCCUACGAUCUAUAGCUGGUUUUAGAGGAUGAUCAGCCACACUGGGACUGAGACACGGCCCAGACUCCUACGGGAGGCAGCAGUGGGGAAUCUUAGACAAUGGGGGCAACCCUGAUCUAGCCAUGCCGCGUGAGUGACGAAGGUCUUAGGAUCGUAAAGCUCUUUCGCCUGUGAUGAUAAUGACAGUAGCAGGUAAAGAAACCCCGGCUAACUCCGUGCCAGC